rnacentral:rRNA from 1 species
AACGAACGCUGGCGGCAUGCCUAACACAUGCAAGUCGAACGAGAGCUUCGGGUCUGGUGGCGCACGGGUGCGUAACGGGUGGGAACCUGCCCUUAGGUUCGGAAUAACUCCCCGAAAGGGGUGCUAAUACCGGAUAAUGUCUUCGGACCAACGAUUUAUCGCCUUUGGAUGGGCCCGCGUUGGAUUAGCUAGUUGGUAGGGUAAAAGCCUACCAAGGCGACGAUCCAUAGCUGGUCAGAGAGGAUGAGCAGCCACACUGGGACUGAGACACGGCCCAGACUCCUACGGGAGGCAGCAGUGGGGAAUAUUGCACAGCGGGCGAAAGCAUGAUGCAGCAAUGCCGGGUGAGUGAUGAAGGCCUUAGGGUUGUAAAGCUCUUUUACCCGGGAUGAUAAUGACAGUACCGGGAGAAUAAGCUCCGGCUAACUCCGUG